UGGUAAAAAUAUUAGUGUGCGAUGUUGUCAAUGUACGGAGUGUCUUGUAUCCAGCUAGAUUAGGGUAGAGGUGUCUGGCGAAUGGUGUUGUAUACGAAGUGACUUAGAAGGUAUUGGGUGUGUUGUGUACACAGUGACUCCGUCCACCACAAUGACGGGCGGGAAAGCAGCAGAGCUAGCCUUAAACAGGAUAAAUGAAGCCAAGGAUUUACUUGAUCAAGUGUGUAAUUUAGAGAUGAAAAGUGUUAAUGGUGCGAGUAAAUUAAGGAAACGAAUAGAAGCUGAAAUAAAAUUUCUGAAUAAGGGUUUGAAAAGGGGCAGCGAGUUGAAAGAAGAGCAUGUGAUGUGUUCCAAUCUUGGUCAGCUGGGAGCAAUUGCAUCAGUAGCUGCAGCAACUCCAAAUGCCACAAAAGUGCUACAAACAUUUUGCAUUAACGGCUUUGAAAAGAUAGUUGUUGAUGUAGUGGGAGAAGGCGGGAAACUGUGGAUAAAGGUAAUUAAGAGGAACCCUAAAGCUCUGCAUUUGCUGUUCAUUCUGGGCGGAAGGAAUGGUGUCAAACCUAUUGAUGACGUUGCUGAUGACUUCCUGAUUUGUGCACAACACCACCCAGUUUUUUAUUCAACCCCAAAGAUUGUGUUUUGGUUCUGUAGUGGAGUGAGUGAGAGUCUAGCAAGAAGUCUUGAAGACAAAGGUGUAGAAAUUAAAGGAGAAAUAAUACCCGAUCACGAACUAGGGCUGCCCGACUAUGUGGAGGAAGAUUCGGAGACAGAAAGUGAGAACUCUGAUUCUGAGUAUGAAUAUUCAAGUGAUGAAAGUAACUAUAUCAAUGAAAAUAAAACCACAACUACUAUUGAUUGCAGUGUAGCAGUUGAAGGGGAAAGUCAAAUGAAAUUUAUGGAUCUGAAUGGUGAAUUUAAUAAUACAUAUGUCAAGCAGAAAGUGAGUGAAUUUGAUGACAGCUCAUUAGAAAGUGUAGAGUCAAAUAUGGUACCAGCAUUGGACGAGGAUUCUAGUGACAGAAUUACAGUGAUUAGAAAGAUAGAGAGUUGUCAAAGUUCUGAAGUAAAUGCAACAAUUCCAGCUCAAGUCCAAGAUUUGAAAGUCCAAAAUAUAACGAGCAAGGAUGAAGAAGCAAUAAAUAAACUUAAUCUUGAUGUAACAGCAAUGAUUGCUUAUGUAACUGCAACAACAAAUGGCAGUGCCAAUUUUAUUUUUAAGGACAGAUUUCUUACAGAGCAAGCAGAGUGUGAAAGAAACAAUCCAGUAAAAAAAACUCUUGAAGAUUACUUUAAAGGACGAGAACUACUCGCGUGUCAAGAGGCUGUUAGUCACUUUCUUGAGAUUGUCAAUACUAUUGGAGGAGCAGGUGAGAAAGCCCGUGCUCAAGAACUGGUAACCAGGCUAAGAAUUGUUAAAGGAGAAGAUUACUUUAAGGAUAAGUUGAAACUUGGAGGCAGAGUGCGUGAACUUUCCAGGAUCAUCUUUGGCACAGGUCACGUUCACAGGGCUAUCACUGUCACGUCUAAUGGAGGAUUUGUUAGGUCUACUGAACAUCGGAGUGCUGCUCCAUAAAAGAGAGGCCUGAUGUCCUCAGGGAUGCCAUCAGCCAAACACACAUUUUAGAAUCUGGGUGUCAAGGUGGCAGUAUUGUACCAUAAGCCUCGUGCUCUUACAGAGGCUAAGGAGGCUACUGCAACACCACUAUAGUGUAGGUAAUGAAAGAUGUUUAUCGCUCACGUACUACUUCAUUAAGUGACUAUUAAGAUACAAAACAAUUCUUGUUAUCAUUAAAGGUUUUGGAAGCAGUAGCUCUGUGCAUAAAUAUAGCUAAAGUUUUAAAAUUAGGAUGGAAAUGUUCUAAUGGUUACAUAAAAUAUUAAUCAGUGGUGGGUAGUUGUGGGACUAAAGUUUAAGUAACAGAAGUUAACUAAAGAUGAUUUAUGUUGGUUGAAUCACAAGAGGGAUAAAACUUAUUUGUGAUAUUUUCUCAGGCAACAUUGUUAGAGAUGGUUUUUUUAGUUGGAAGUUAAGUUAAACACAGCACAAAGUACUGAUUGUGAUAUAAGAAACAGCAGAGUUCUCUACAAAGUUGCUACACAGUAGUUAAAGAUGAUGCAUGAAAUGUAAGAUUUGAUAAACGUUCUUACAGUCAGUGUCACAUCUUCAAUGAAGUUUCUUUUCAAAUUUGUAUACAGUACAGUGCAACCUCAAUUAUCAGAACCAAUUGGUACCUCUGGGUGUCCAGAUAAAGGUAAAAGUUUGUGAGACACAUGUUUUGACAUUUUUGGUUAUUUCGGUACAUUUUGUUUAUCUUUUGUUUGUUAAUAUGAAUGCACCAAUGUAUAUGAUGGAAAACAAUAAAAUUGUUGGUAUUA
rnacentral:misc_RNA from 1 species